rnacentral:scRNA from 1 species
UGAUGAUCAUCCUGGAUUGCUCCAGGGAUAC